GACGUAGGGCGCGAGCGUUGUCCGGAUUUAUUGGGCGUAAAGAGCUCGUAGGCGGCUUGUCACGUCGGGUGUGAAAGCCCGGGGCUUAACCCCGGGUCUGCAUUCGAUACGGGCUGGCUAGAGUGUGGUAGGGGAGAUCGGAAUUCCUGGUGUAGCGGUGAAAUGCGCAGAUAUCAGGAGGAACACCGGUGGCGAAGGCGGAUCUCUGGGCCAUUACUGACGCUGAGGAGCGAAAGCGUGGGGAGCGAACAGG
rnacentral:rRNA from 1 species